AGCUUUUUGCAUAUAUAAAAAGUAACUACUGCUCAGUGAAUAUUUUAACAGCCGCAGUACCCUGACUGUGCUAAGGUAGCAUAAUAAUUUGACUUUUAAUUAGAGCCUAGAAUGAAUGGAACCAUGAAGGAGAUACUUUAUUAAAUAUAUAUAUAUAACUUAUUUAUUAGGUGAAAAUACCUAAGCUCUAAGAAAAUAGACGAGAAGACCCUUAGAAUUUUCACUACAAGAGAUUCUUCCAAACGUUUUUGUUGGGGUGACAAAUUAACAAAUUAACUUACUUAAACUUACAAGUCUAAUUAUAUGAUUGAUAAAAUUACCUAAGGGAUAACAGCAUAAUUUUUAUUUGAGAUUGUGACCUCGAUGUUGGACUAGGGUAUUAUAUGAUUAGAAAUCAUGUAUAUUAGUUCUGUUCGAACUUUUAAUCCCCU
rnacentral:rRNA from 1 species